UGCCAUGAUGAGUCUAACAUCUCGUUAAUCUGAUGCUGUAUGCAUUAUGAGGACAACUCUAAUUCAUUCAUAACAAAAUUCUGAGC